rnacentral:misc_RNA from 2 species
ACGAGUUAGGGUCUCCUAGGCCCGACCUCCCAACCCUUUGUUUACUGAGCCUCUGUUGCUUCGGCGGGCCCGUCUUAAUUGACCGUCGGAGGAUUGUCGAAAGGCUUCCUCUGGCCAGUGUCCGUCGACAGCCAACUUUAAAAACUCUCAUACAAAUCAUGCCUUAUGUCUAAGUUAAUUAUCAAAUUAAAAAAGUUUA